CCCUUAGACGUUCUGGGCCGCACGCGCGCUACACUGACACAGGCAACGAGCUUUCCUUUACCGAAAGGUAUGGGUAAUCUUUUGAAACUGUGUCGUGCUGGGGAUAGAUCCUUGCAAUUUUUGAUCUUAAACGAGGAAUUCCUAGUAAGCGCGAGUCAUCAACUCGCGUUGAUUACGUCCCUGCCCUUUGUACACACCGCCCGUCGCUACUACCGAUUGAAUGGCUUAGUGAGGCCUCAGGGUCCGCGCUUAAUGUGUGGAGAAUUUGGACAAACUACGUCAUUUAGAGGAAGUAAAAGUCGUAACA
rnacentral:rRNA from 1 species